UACAACAAGAUGCACGUUUGUCCCUGCCCCU
rnacentral:piRNA from 1 species